rnacentral:miRNA from 12 species
GUGAAUUAGUUCAUCUGGUUAAUCCACUGGAAGACUGAGCCUGAGGGUAAGAGGUAAACAGGCUUCUGUAGAUCAGCCAGCUGACCCGAUUCAU